rnacentral:lncRNA from 1 species
AUUGCACCAUUUGCAGUUGAAUCAUUUGACGAACACGCCAACUUCUCCAUCUCAAUAAAAUCAUCCAUGAGGUCCAGGUGCUUAACAUUUUCAGAUUUGCUCGACUUUUCAGUGCUAUUUUCUUUCUUGAAAUGUGAGAGCUCAGAGAUCAAAGCUGUAGCCCAUGACUCGGCACAGCUUCUAUCAUCAUCAUUUCCAUCUUCAGACACAGAAGUCAUACUCGGUGGAUUGCUAGCAAUUUGGCUGGAGUAAACUUCUGUAGGAAUCUGAACAAUUGUUUUUGAAGGACUUCUUUGUUGGUUGCUGAUGGCAAGUUGUGCUUCUAAAGUUUGGAGCUUGCUGGAUGUCUUUGCACACAGGUUCCUCGAAGCCAGUAGUUCACUGUUACGUAUUGCCAAAGCUUCUUUCAGCAUCUUUGUUUCUUCUUCCAUUGCCAAUAAACGUUCUCUGAAAAAGUCCUGCUCUUUAUGAGAUUUCUGUGCACUGUCAAUGGAGAAGUCGCUGAUGGUGGACAGGUGUGGAG